CUACAGGCGCCCGCUCCGUGCCCGGCUAUGUUUUUUUGUAUUUUUAGUAGAGACGGGGUUUCACUGUGUUAGCCAGCAUGGUCUCAAUCUCCUGACCUCGUGAUCUGCCUGCCUUGGCCUCCCAAAGUGCUGGGAUUACAGGCGUGAGCCACUGCGCCCGGCCCCCUCUGAUUCUUUACAGAUUGUUAUGGAAGACUUUUACUAAUCAGUGGGCCUCUGAAUAUUGAAAUCAGCCUGAGGUGAAGGCUUGAGUCUUCUUUUCCUAGCACCCAGAGAAUCUCUCUGCACCACGUAUUCCAGCUGGAGGUGGCGUCAGCAAUUCUGGACUGCUUUUUCUAUCUUUUCAGUGCCUCAUUCAGUGAUGUCAAGUUAAAACCAGAAACGAUGGGUGUUCACCAGAUUUUUGGUUCUUAUGAAGGGACAUGGAUGGAGCUGGAAACACUUAUGCUCAGCAAACUAAUGCAGGAACAGAAAACCAAGAACCACAUAUUCUCACUUAUAAGUGGGAGCUAAACAAUGAGAAAACAUGGACACAUGUGGGGGAACAAAACAUACCGGGGCCUGUUGCAGAAGCAGGCAGGGUGAGGGAGAGCAUCGGGAAGAACAGCUAAUGGAUGCUGGGCUUAAUACCUAGGUGAUGGGUUGAUCUGUGCAGCACAUCACCGUGGCACAUGUUUACCUAUGUCACAAACCUGCACAUCCUGCACCUGUACCCCUGAACUUAAAAGUUGAAGAAGAAAAAAUAAAUUUGCAUAUAGUAAUUUUUAGGAUACACUGUUAGGGUCAAUACAUUUCAUACGGUUUUAACGUAUGGCUCAUCUUACCCUACAAGGAAUAUUGGAAAAUUGUCUGGGGGCAAAAGAGCCUGACCUUUGUGCUGUCAUGUUGACAAGUCUUGUGAGGAAAGCGGCCCUGGAAAGGCACGUGCCUCUGUGCAAAUUACUUUCCAGCAGAGGUAAUUCCCAUAGAGGCUAAUAGUUAAAGGCUUUGUGCCAAGCCUCACUCCACACAGCUAGAGGAAAGAAGUGCCUCAUUUAUUUAGGAAAAUCUGGGUGAAUCAUCAAGGCAUUCACCACAGUUUUCACAUUUGCUUAUGGUUGUUUUGCCCUCAGUGUUUUCAUGUUCAUGUAUUGGCCUCAGGAUUCCUGCACCAGAUGAAUGAUAUAAAAUUGAAUCCAUAUGCCCAUUUGGUGCAUACCUUGAACAUUGCUUUAACUUUUACACAGAAUAUGUUUUUGUUUGUUUGCUUGUUUCUAGAAGUUCCAGGAAAAGAAACAAAUUUCAUGUAGCUUCUUUACACCAAGGAGAAAAAUCUUUCCCAUUUUUUUCAAUUGAAGGGUCAGCUUGUUCAGGGUCCCAGAUUUGUGCUAUUUCAAAGAUAAAUCCCUGAUUUACCUUGAUGAAAGCCAGAUAUCUUAUCUCCACAUAGGUAUUAGCCCCUAUCACCUAAGUCUAUACCAUAUUCAGUAGAAUUUCCCUUGAUCGCUUAGAGAUUUUUUUUUCUGUCAUCUGAGGAUUUGCCUUUCUUUCCAGCAGAUAUAUUUUUAAGCAUUUUGAUCACAUAGAAGAAACAUUUGUAAAUAUUUUAGCAUGCAGUGUUGUCCACAUUGACUCUGUCCACAGUUUUUUGAAACAAAAUUCUCCAAAAUGUUUCCAAUUCUCUAUAGCAUGGUAAAAUGUUACAUUAACUUUUCUUCCUUCUUUUUGUCAAUAAAGCCAUGCUGACAAUUUAACUAUGUGCCUGGAGCUAGAAUAUAAAAUUUAUAACAUCAGGUCUUUAUCUUAGGUUUUUAAUCAAUUUUGGAUCCUUUUGUAGAGAAGCUCGAUAUUCUCAACUAAAUAUCGUAAUAGUAUAUUUGAAUCUAAUCGUGUAAACUAUUGUGGUCAUGCUUAUAAAGUUUCUUGACUUGACCUAAUAAAAAGACUGAUUAUAUGCACUAAAGUACAAAUAGUUAUUUUAUCCAUGUUAGAUCAUUACCUCAUAAAUUGAACAUAAUUAUUAGUAAUAAAAUAUCUUUAACUUAUAAAUACACAUAUGUAUAUGUAGAUUCUCUCUAUAUUCUCUCUAUAUGUAGACUCUCCAGUACACAGUCAAAAUGAAAGAACAAUUGAAACCCAAAACAUGUAUCAUCUCUCUGAAGCAGUUAAAGAUGUGUUCUGGCAAUUUGAGGUCUAAGCAAACAAUAAUGAUGAGGCUGGUAAUGGGAAAAUUAGUAACGGGGCUUUUAAAUAAUUUUUGAAGUUUCUAUGCCCUUGAGUUAUUUUAAUAAUGAUGAUGAUGAUAUUUUAGAGAUGCUGUCUUAUUCUGCUACUCAAGCUGGCCUUGCAUUCCGGGGCUCUAGCUAUCUUCCAGCCUCAGCCCCCUGAGUAGCUGGGACUAUAGGUGCAUGUCACUGUGCCCUGACCCUGAGCCAUUUUACUUGUAUUGAUACUUGAGAGCUGAUUCACAUGAGAUUAUGUGUUUU
rnacentral:lncRNA from 1 species